UUAAUACUUUUCUUCUUCAGAACUAUAUCAAAUGAUGAGCUGUAUAGUAAUUGUUUGUAUAUGCAGUCAUACUCAGAAGGGGUGGAUUUGGGUCAGCAGUGGAUGGGUCUCUUGGUGUAGAUUGCUCUGAUGUGGUUUGAUCAAAUGAAGUUCCGCUGGUGGUGGGGUUGAUUGGUGUAGAUUGCUCUGAUGUGGUUUGAUCAAAUGAAGUUCCGCUGGUGGUGGGGUUGGUUGAUGUAGCUGGUUCAGUAGUACUUGGAAGGUUGGUUGACGUAAUAUGAUGUGGUGUACUUGUACUGGUAGAAGGGCUGGUUGAUGUCUUAGCUGUACUUGAGGUUGGGUCAUGAGUGGUCACUUCAAAAGGAGGAUCAGGGAAAUCUGAGAUUGGAGUUUUUGAUGUGGUUGUUGAAGGUGUGGAUGACACAGUUGUCUCAGGUGUACUAAUCGAAGGGCUGGUUGAUGUCUUAGCGGUACUUGAUGCAGCUGAUACUGGAAGGGUGACUGGUGUAGUCGUUUUUGAUGUGGUUGUUGAAGAUGUGGUUAAGGUAGUUGACUCCGAUGUGCUUGCAGUUGUUGGAGAACGUGUCGAUUGUUCAGAAGUACUUACAGUUAUUGAAGGGGAGGUUGGUGUUAUUUCAGAUGUAUAUGCUGGAGAGGUGACUGGUGUAGUUGAAGGUGUGGUUGACGUAGUUGAAGGUGUGGAUGGGAUGCUAGAUGCAGUACUUCCUGAAGUAUUAGAAGUUGUCUGUGUUGAUGCUGUGAACAAAAAGUUGUU
ensembl:lncRNA